UACGGAGGGUGCGAGCGUUGUCCGGAAUCACUGGGCGUAAAGGGCGCGUAGGCGGCGCGGGCAGUCAACGGUGAAAGCUCGGGGCUCAACUCCGAGUCGGCCGUCGAUACUCCCGUGCUCGAGCACUGUAGAGGCAGGUGGAAUUCCGGGUGUAGCGGUGGAAUGCGUAGAGAUCCGGAAGAACACCGGUGGCGAAGGCGGCCUGCUGGGCAGUAGCUGACGCUGAGGCGCGACAGCGUGGGGAGCGAACAGG
rnacentral:rRNA from 1 species